rnacentral:lncRNA from 1 species
CUUGGAGGUAACUAAAACUAAAAAAAAAGUGAACUGGGUCCAGAAAUUGAAUUGAUUAUACAAAUAAAUUAGUGAAAAUUAAACCAUAAUAGAGCAAAGUGAAAUUCAAUCUGCUUACUGGGUUCAUCAGCAACUAACAGUAUUCACUGCCGCAGUUUGGAGUAAGAACAAUACACAUUCCUAUGCCAUUGUAUCCAAUUAUUUACUUCAUGAUAAAUAUGCCGUCUUGUUCAUUAUCAAAGAAUUAUUAAGUCGUUAUCAUAAUAUUUGUAAAUUACACUUUUUCACUGAUGGUACUUCAUCACAAUUCAAAAACUCGUAUGUCAUGACAGCCAUGAAUAAUUUGUACAAAUUAUCGUCUGAUCUUCUUGAGAUUCGUUGGUGAUUUUUUGCAACAUCACACGGAAAAAGGGCAGUUGAUGGCAUAGGUGGAGAAAUAAAAAGAAUGGUUCGGACAACAGCAAAAUCUGGAAAACGAUAUUUUUGCAGCUUAGAAGAUUUUGUAAGCAUUGCAAGUGAAAAACAUACCAAAAUUAAUAUCAUCUCUAUUACAAAUGAGUGUAUUACCGCAAACCAAAGUGAAAUUGAGAAGAAGCUUCUUAAAGAUAAAUUUAAAGUCAAGGGAUUCGUCGCCACCACUCUUUUCUUUUUAAUAUCAAUGGUGCUUUCAUGGCAAUUUGUACCGAAUCAGAAAUGGUAUAUUUGUCUUUGCAGAAGUGCGUUUUGCUGGUAGAGCAAAGACAUACUUUAUCAAAGUAUUAGAAAUUAUAGAUGAUAUGGCACAUAUUAAAUUCCUUAAAGAACAAAACGAACUCAUUUUUAUAUACCCAUCUGUAGACGACUUCUCCUAGCAUGACUUGUGUGAGUUAAAACCGUUAGUACCGCAACCAUACUUUGAUAAUCGUGGACAUAUUAUUAACGAGCCAAAGUGUUACAACUAAACUU